GACGAACGCUGGCGGCGUGCCUAAUACAUGCAAGUAGAACGCUGAAGAGAGGAGCUUGCUCUUCUUGGAUGAGUUGCGAACGGGUGAGUAACGCGUAGGUAACCUGCCUUGUAGCGGGGGAUAACUAUUGGAAACGAUAGCUAAUACCGCAUAACAAUGGAUGACACAUGUCAUUUAUUUGAAAGGGGCAAUUGCUCCACUACAAGAUGGACCUGCGUUGUAUUAGCUAGUAGGUGAGGUAAUGGCUCACCUAGGCGACGAUACAUAGCCGACCUGAGAGGGUGAUCGGCCACACUGGGACUGGGACACGGCCCAGACUCCUACGGGAGGCAGCAGUAGGGGAUCUUCGGCAAUGGGGGCAACCCUGACCGAGCAACGCCGCGUGAGUGAAGAAGGUUGUCGGAUCGUAAAGCUCUGUUGUAAGUCAAGAACGGGUGUGAGAGUGGAAAGUUCACACUGUGACGGUAGCUUACCAGAAAGGGACGGCUAACUACGUG
rnacentral:rRNA from 1 species